UACGUAGGUGGCAAGCGUUGUCCGGAUUUACUGGGUGUAAAGGGUGCGCAGGCGGACCUUUAAGUAGAAAGUGAAAGGUUGGAGCUCAACUCCGACACUGCUUCCUAUACUGGGGGUCUUGAGUUUCGGAGAGGAAAGCGGAACGACACGUGUAGCGGUGAAAUGCGUUGAUAUGUGUCGGAACACCAAUGGCGAAAGCAGCUUUCUGGACGAAUACUGACGCUCAGGCACGAAAGCCAAGGUAGCAAACAGG
rnacentral:rRNA from 1 species